UAUGCAUGGGGGCACCCUGACCGCAAUGCCGCGUGAGUGAAGAAGGCCUUCGGGUUGUAAAGCUCUUUUGUCAGGGAAGAAACACCGGCUCUAACACAGUCCGGGAAUGACGGUACCUGAAGAAUAAGCACCGGCUAACUACGUGCCAGCAGCCGCGGUAAUACGUAGGGUGCAAGCGUUAAUCGGAAUUACUGGGCGUAAAGCGUGCGCAGGCGGUUAUACAAGACAGGCGUGAAAUCCCCGGGCUUAACCUGGGAAUGGCGCCUGUGACUGUAUAGCUAGAGUGUGUCAGAGGGGGGUAGAAUUCCACGUGUAGCAGUGAAAUGCGUAGAUAUGUGGAGGAAUACCAAUGGCGAAGGCAGCCCCCUGGGAUAACACUGACGCUCAUGCACGAAA
rnacentral:rRNA from 1 species